rnacentral:rRNA from 1 species
AUUGAACGCUGGCGGCAGGCCUAACACAUGCAAGUCGAGUGAGCGGCGGACGGGCGAGUAAUGUAUGGGGACUGCCCGAUAGAGGGGGAUAACUACUGGAAACGGUGGCUAAUACCGCAUACUGUCGGAUAACCCAUAUGGGAUUAGCUAGUGGGUAAGGUAAUGGGUUACCUAGGCGACGAUCCCUAGCUGGUCUGAGAGGAUGGUCAGCGACACUGAGACUGAAACACGGCCCAGACUCCUACGGAGGCAGCAGUGGGGAGUAGUGCACAAGGGGAGCAAGCCUGGUGCAUACAUGCCUCGUGUAUGAAGAAGGCCCGAGGGUUGUGAAGUACUUUCAGUCGGGAGGCGUUACCGACAGAAGAAGCACCGGCUAACUCCGUGCCAGCAGCCGCGGUAAUUC